UGCAAGAAGCCGAUUGCCAUGAUAAACUAAAUGUGAUAUUGCAUCUUAUUCUUUAGUUAUAUACAGUCUUUUCUCAUGACUUGAGCUCUGCCAUUUUAUAGGUCAAUUACUUCCCUUCAAGGCAUGAUCCUGUUCGUCAUGCAGAAAAGGUUCCCAUUCCUACUGCUAAUUUCUCUGCAUGCCGUGAAAAGGUUAGUUUCCAUAAAUUGCUUAAUAUGAAAAUAUGAUAUGUGUUGUGAACUUGUGAGUGAAUCCAUCAGCCGUGAUUUUUACGAUUGAUUGCAUUACCUUAUUUAAUUUAUUUAUUUAUUUUUGUCUAAGAAACCACACAUUUUAGAAACAACAAAUCUAUGAUCUUUCGUUGGAUACAGUAUGAAAAUUGUUCUGACAAAGAAGCAGAGAAAUAGGUCUACUACCUUGGUUAAAUAUUAAGUUGGUGCAAAUUAAUUUGAAGUUUAGGUAGCACUUAUUUUUAGCAGUACUUUUACAUAAAUUGAUAAUUAUUGUUUUAUAAAAUAAAUGACGAGUGAGGAUCAAUUAAAUAGUGUCAGUGAAGCUGUUUAAACAAUACCUGUAUUGGGGAAGAAUGUAUGAACAAUUU
rnacentral:lncRNA from 1 species